CCAUUUAUUAUAUUCUUUCAUUUGCAGAGUAGUUUACUUAGUUUACCUUUAUUCUAUUGAUUGCCUAUUGAUUGCCUAUUGAUUAUUCAUUGAUCCAUUUAAUAUAACUGUUUACCUUGUAGCAUUUACCUAUUAUUGAUUUUACUAUCAGUACUCACUGUUCACUAGAGUGUAUAGGUUUUCUUGUAUUCUGAUUGGUUUAUUAAGCCUUGCCCCCAGUUUUGGUGGUAGUUUUGAAAACAGUAAUGGAGGAUUGAUGUCUUUGUUGUGAUCCUGAUAUAUUCGUAUGUUUUGAUGCACUUUGUGCUCAUAGACUAUAUUGUGUUUGAUUAGUAGUUCCAUAAGAUCUAUGGAUUAGUAUAGUGAAGGAAUUCAUUCUGGAACAGGACAUCAUGACUUUAUAUGAACCAUAUUUGAUGUGAACCUCUGUUACCAUUACUGUAGAAGUAUGAAGAUCGUUACUGUUAAUAUUGUGUAGACUGUCGAUGUUAGUUAUUAAACUCAGUUCCACAGACUGGGUUUGUAAUAAUUAUAUGAUUACAUCAUUGUUGAAUAAAGAACCCUAGACUAAGAUGAAUUGGACUUGUUAUUAUUUGACUGUCCAGAAAUCACCUUUUACAUUGGCGCCCAACGUUUCGAAGAACCUGGCAUGUACAGCAGAUAUGAUGAAGUUAUUGUAAAGAUGAUGAGCCGUACUAGAUAUUGACUAUUUGUAAUUGGUUCGAUAUGUGGAAAAAUAUAUAAAGAUUUUACCUGUAUUAAUCACAUACGAUUAUAAAGACUAACUGAGUGAUUAUUAUUAAUAAAUAAAUAAACUAGAUUGACAUUGAAUAGAUAUAUUACCUACACUGUUUAAACUUAUAUGUAAAUUAUUGUCAGUGUAUAGUAGUGUACUUGAAAUACUUAGUGUAUUUAAAUUAUUUGGAAAGUAGUUGUAUAAUUAGUUGUGAAAAGAAUUACUACUUUAGUGUGUAUUGACAGAUACAGAUAAAGACUGUUUAGUGAACAU